AUCACGUAUGGGUCAUGCGAACCUGAUGAUAUGGUUGAUUACAUGCCGAGGAGUUUCAUCUCAUAUGGAACAGUUGUAAAAUGUCACUGUGAAAUCGGUUAUGAAUGGACUGAAAAAUCGAAUUCAUACGAGUGUACUUAUUCCGGAUGGAAACUAGAAACAUUUGGAAUAUGCGUCAAAAUAACAUGUCCUUACAGGAAACCACCGAAAAACGGUGACGUGACUCCAUCCCAAAAACGAUACUUCGUAAAUCAAGUGAUCGAAUUCAGCUGCCGACGCGGGUAUAGUCUCAGUGGUAACUCAAAAGACAAGUGCAAAAAAUUGCCUAAAACAAUGCCAAGUGGAAAAGUUGGCGCCAUACGUCACCUAUAGUCCUGAAGCUAAAUAUCACGAUCAAGGAACAGUAAUACAAUUCGAGUGUGAGAAAAAACACUACCACCUUGUCGGAGAGGAAAAAGCUAAAUGUUCAGAAGGCGGAAGUUGGGAUACAGAAUUUCCAAUUUGCGUUCGAAAGUGCUAUACACCUGAGAUCGAAAAUGGUGGAGUUGAAGAUGAGAAAGAUUUCUACUUGGCAAAAGAAUAUAUUGAAUAUUUCUGCAAUGAUGGCUAUGCUCUGGAUGGAGAGGAUGAAGGUCAAUGCUUAGGCAAUGGGGAAUGGAGCCACGUCCCAACUUGCAAAGAAAUAAUUCGUGACGAUUCCUGCAAAGGACGUUGUGGAAAAAAAGACGACUACUUCGAAUACACAUGUCAAUGUCACUAUAGGUGUGAGAAAGAGUACAAUUGUUGCUCUGACUAUCGCAAACAAUGUAAACAUAUUCUUUAUUAACUGCAACAGAAGCCAAUAAAGAUGAGCACUCAUCAGACGACACGCUGGAAUCUUGGAAUUAACGUUACGAUAAAUUGUCGAAUGUUCACUAUAUUAUAUGUUAUAUUAAUAAAACUUCAGCAAUA